rnacentral:tRNA from 1 species
AAAGUCUUAAGUUAAGUAAACUAUAAGCCUUCAAAGCUUGCAUUAGGAAUGUCCUAGGCUUUA